AUUGAACGCUGGCGGCAGGCUUAACACAUGCAAGUCGAGCGGGGUGAUGGUGCUUGCACUAUCACUUAGCGGCGGACGGGUGAGUAAUGCUUAGGAAUCUGCCUAUUAGUGGGGGACAACAUCUCGAGAGGGAUGCUAAUACCGCAUACGUCCUACGGGAGAAAGCGGGGGAUCUUUAUGACCUUGCGCUAAUAGAUGAGCCUAAGUCGGAUUAGCUAGUUGGUGGGGUAAAGGCCUACCAAGGCGACGAUCUGUAGCGGGUCUGAGAGGAUGAUCCGCCACACUGGGACUGAGACACGGCCCAGACUCCUACGGGAGGCAGCAGUGGGGAAUAUUGGACAAUGGGGGGAACCCUGAUCCAGCCAUGCCGCGUGUGUGAAGAAGGCCUUAUGGUUGUAAAGCACUUUAAGCGAGGAGGAGGCUCUUUUGGUUAAUACCCAAGAUGAGUGGACGUUACUCGCAGAAUAAGCACCGGCUAACUCUGUGCCAGCCGCCGCCGUAA
rnacentral:rRNA from 1 species